UGUAGACACUCGUAUUUCUGUUGAGCUGAGGGACAGGACUUAACAAGUACAAAACUAAAUCUUUUGCCACCCAGAGCUUAUUGUUCAGUAUGAAUUUUGAAACAUGUGAGGAGCAUAAUA